GUCGAACGGUGAAGCCCUUCGGGGUGGAUCAGUGGCGAACGGGUGAGUAACACGUGGGCAAUCUGCCCUGCAUUCUGGGACAAGCCUUGGAAACGAGGUCUAAUACCGGAUACGACGCAUCCCCGCAUGGGGUGUGCGUGGAAAGCUCCGGCGAUGCAGGAUGAGCCCGCGGCCUAUCAGCUUGUUGGUGGGGUAAUGGCCUACCAAGGCGACGACGGGUAGCCGGCCUGAGAGGGCGACCGGCCACACUGGGACUGAGACACGGCCCAGACUCCUACGGGAGGCAGCAGUGGGGAAUAUUGCACAAUGGGCGAAAGCCUGAUGCAGCGACGCCGCGUGAGGGAUGACGGCCUUCGGGUUGUAAACCUCUUUCAGCAGGGAAGAAGCGCAAGUGACGGUACCUGCAGAAGAAGCACCGGCUAACUACGUGCCAGCAGCCGCGGUAAUACGUAGGGUGCGAGCGUUGUCCGGAAUUAUUGGGCGUAAAGAGCUCGUAGGCGGCCUGUCACGUCGGAUGUGAAAGCCCGGGGCUUAACUCCGGGUCUGCAUUCGAUACGGGCAGGCUAGAGUGUGGUAGGGGAGAUCGGAAUUCCUGGUGUAGCGGUGAAAUGCGCAGAUAUCAGGAGGAACACCGGUGGCGAAGGCGGAUCUCUGGGCCAUUACUGACGCUGAGGAGCGAAAGCGUGGGGAGCGAACAGGAUUAGAUACCCUGGUAGUCCACGCCGUA
rnacentral:rRNA from 1 species